ensembl:lincRNA Gm26549 predicted gene, 26549
GCUGGUCCUCCCAGGUCCGGAGAGCUUCGUUAGUGCCGGCGGCGGUUGUAGAGGUGAGGACAGGAGACUGGCUCCCCCGACUGGGGGGAGGAGGGCGGGAGUCCUUGGAACACGAUCGAGGGUCUCUGAGGACUGUGUACCCCAGAGGGAUACACAGAAGAGGGAAGAUCAAGAGAAGACAAGAAGAGUCUUCAGGGCCAUCCAUAAGGAAACAGCUUUUCGGAGGAAGCCGACACGCAGACUCAGGGAAGGAACCUUGCAGAUGAGUGGGGAUCGUCACAUGCAAGAACGACAAGAAAAGAUUUUUUUUUUUCCCCCAGAGCUGAGGACCGAACCCAGGGCCUUGCGCUUGCUAGGCAAGCGCUCUACCACUGAGCUAAAUCUCCAACCCCAAGAAAAGAUUUUUAAUCCAAAAAUUUAAAUAAUCCGAUGACAGACUCAAAAGAGCAGAUGGUGAAGAGAGCCCUCAGACAGGUGAUAGAGGAACAUUAAGGCCAGAGGACUAUGGCUAGUUGUGUGUCAGUGGGAACUGACAAUUGCUGAAAAUACAGACACGUUUCACUAUAUUCACUACACUCAAUUUAUGGAAUCAACUUAAGGAAAAUAUUUCAUGUAUCAUGAAAUAAGAGAAUGAGCCAGCGGGGUUUUUUGUUUUGGUUUUGGUUUUUUUUUUUCAGAGCAGGAUCUUAAGAAUUCUUACCCUUCUUGCCUCAGCCUUCCAAGUAAUGAGAUUACAUGUGUUCACCACCACACCCAGGUCUUCUUGGCUGGCCUCUGUAGAGGAUCUGAAGAUUGAUCAGUACGGAUCUCUAAGCCUAGAACAUUCUCUUUCUUGUCCUCCAGAUUAACUUUAAUUCUUGAAGAUGUAAGUCAGCUCCCAGCAUACUCUGAACUAGGUAUGUGACCAUUUGAGGGGUUGCAAAACAUCCCAGCCUGGAAUACAGAAGAUCUUUGAGAUUUUUUAAGACAGCAUUUCUCUGUAUGGCCCUGACUGUCCUAAAACUUAAACUAGAAUAGCCUUGAACACAGAAAUCUGUCUUUCUCUGCCUCUUAAGUACUGGGAUAAAAGGGUGAGGGAUGCACAUGUGGAGGCAUGUGGGUGGCAGUCAGAAAGGCGACUUUCAAGAGUCAGUUCUCUUCUUCCAGCAUGUGUCUCCCAGGGAUGGAGCUCAGGCCUGCAGGCUGGGGUGGCUAGUGUGGAUUACUAAAAUAAACAUGAUAGGCUGCG